ensembl:snoRNA SNORD39 Small nucleolar RNA SNORD55/SNORD39
GCCGUGUGAGGCUGCCUCUGCCACGCUGCCGGCUCCCUGACACGCGGUGGGGGAGCCAACCUUGGAGCGCCGAGCCGGC